rnacentral:rRNA from 1 species
UACGUAGGGUGCAAGCGUUAAUCGGAAUUACAGGGCGUAAAGCGUGCGCAGGCGGUUUUGUAAGUCUGACGUGAAAUCCCCGGGCUCAACCUGGGAAUUGCGUUGGAGACUGCAAGGCUAGAAUCUGGCAGAGGGGGGUAGAAUUCCACGUGUAGCAGUGAAAUGCGUAGAGAUGUGGAGGAACACCGAUGGCGAAGGCAGCCCCCUGGGUCAAGAUUGACGCUCAUGCACGAAAGCGUGGGGAGCAAACAGG